rnacentral:rRNA from 1 species
UAGAGUUUGACAUGGCUCAGAUUGAACGCUGGCAGCAGGCCUAACACAUGCAAGUCGAGCGGUAACAUGUCUAGCUUGCUAGAUGAUGACGAGCGGCGGACGGGUGAGUAAUGCUUGGGGAUCUGCCUUAGAGUGGAGGAUAACCAUUGGAAACGAUGGCUAAUACUGCAUAGUAUCUGCGGAUUAAAGGGGGCUUAGGCUCUUGCUUUAAGAUGAACCCAAGUGGGAUUAGCUAGUUGGUGAGGUAAUGGCUCACCAAGGCGACGAUCCCUAGCUGGUCUGAGAGGAUGAUCAGCCACACUGGAACUGAGACACGGUCCAGACUCCUACGGGAGGCAGCAGUGGGGAAUAUUGCACAAUGGGCGAAAGCCUGAUGCAGCCAUGCCGCGUGUGUGAAGAAGGCCCUAGGGUUGUAAAGCACUUUCAGUCAGGAGGAAAGGUUAGUAGUUAAUACCUGCUAGCUGUGACGUUACUGACAGAAGAAGCACCGGCUAACUUCGUGCCAGCAGCCGCGGUAAUACGAGGGGUGUAAGCGUUAAUCGGAAUUACUGGGCGUAAAGCGAGCGUAGGCGGCUGAAUAAGCUGGAUGUGAAAAACCGGGGCUCAACCUCGGCCGUGCAUUCAGAACUGUUUAGCUAGAGUCCUGUAGAGAGGGGUAGAAUUUCA